rnacentral:rRNA from 1 species
UGGCUCAGAUUGAACGCUGGCGGCAGGCCUAACACAUGCAAGUCGAGCGGUAGAGAGAAGCUUGCUUCUCUUGAGAGCGGCGGACGGGUGAGUAAUGCCUAGGAAUCUGCCUGGUAGUGGGGGAUAACGUUCGGAAACGAACGCUAAUACCGCAUACGUCCUACGGGAGAAAGCAGGGGACCUUCGGGCCUUGCGCUAUCAGAUGAGCCUAGGUCGGAUUAGCUAGUUGGUGAGGUAAUGGCUCACCAAGGCGACGAUCCGUAACUGGUCUGAGAGGAUGAUCAGUCACACUGGAACUGAGACACGGUCCAGACUCCUACGGGAGGCAGCAGUGGGGAAUAUUGGACAAUGGGCGAAAGCCUGAUCCAGCCAUGCCGCGUGUGUGAAGAAGGUCUUCGGAUUGUAAAGCACUUUAAGUUGGGAGGAAGGGCAGUUACCUAAUACGUGAUUGUUUUGACGUUACCGACAGAAUAAGCACCGGCUAACUCUGUGCCAGCAGCCGCGGUAAUACAGAGGGUGCAAGCGUUAAUCGGAAUUACUGGGCGUAAAGCGCGCGUAGGUGGUUUGUUAAGUUGGAUGUGAAAUCCCCGGGCUCAACCUGGGAACUGCAUUCAAAACUGACUGACUAGAGUAUGGUAGAGGGUGGUGGAAUUUCCUGUGUAGCGGUGAAAUGCGUAGAUAUAGGAAGGAACACCAGUGGCGAAGGCGACCACCUGGACUAAUACUGA